rnacentral:ncRNA from 1 species
UUUCCGAGGAGCGUUGCAGCGCCCUGCGCACCGCACGGUGCGGACGGGGCGUGAGGCUCGGAUACCUGCAUUCGCAACGACGCUCACCCA